rnacentral:rRNA from 1 species
UAAGACAGAGGGUGCGAACGUUGCUCGGAAUUACUGGGCGUAAAGCGCGUGUAGGCGGGUGCGCAAGUCCGUUGUGAAAUCCCUGGGCUCAACCCAGGAACUGCAUCGGAAACUGCGUGUCUUGAGUAAUGGAGAGGGAAGUGGAAUUCCCGGUGUAGAGGUGAAAUUCGUAGAUAUCGGGAGGAACACCAGUGGCGAAGGCGGCUUCCUGGACAUUUACUGACGCUGAGACGCGAAAGCGUGGGGAGCAAACAGGAUUAGAUACCCUGGUAGUCCACGCCGUAAACGAUGCGUGCUAGGUGUUGUGAGUUUUGACACUCGCGGUGCCGUAGCUAACGCGUUAAGCACGCCGCCUGGGGAGUACGGCCGCAAGGCUA